UGACUGACUGAGUGCCAGCAGCCGCGGUAAUACGUAUGGUGCAAGCGUUAUCCGGAUUUACUGGGUGUAAAGGGAGCGUAGACGGAUAGGCAAGUCUGGAGUGAAAGCCCGGGGCUCAACCCCGGGACUGCUUUGGAAACUGUUUAUCUAGAGUGCUGGANAGGUAAGUGGAAUUCCUAGUGUAGCGGUGAAAUGCGUAGAUAUUAGGAGGAACACCAGUGGCGAAGGCGGCUUACUGGACAGUAACUGACGUUGAGGCUCNAAAGC
rnacentral:rRNA from 1 species